GGCUCGAUGGUUUAGUGGUAUAAUUCUCGCUUAGGGCUUUUAACUCUAAGUUGCUAUUUAAUAGUUUGCGAGAGGUCCCGGGUUCAAUUCCCGGUUGAGCCC
rfam:Lipomyces starkeyi NRRL Y-11557 unplaced genomic scaffold LIPSTscaffold_13, whole genome shotgun sequence.